rnacentral:lncRNA from 1 species
UUAAUAAAAAGUUAUUUAUUGUUUAUUAUUUAUGGAACAUCCCAAGCAGAGAAUACACCAGGAUAUAUUCUGUGAUCCAAGUAUUUUUUGUUAACCCAGAAGCAGUCGCGCCGUGAGAAAAAUCUCACAUUUGAUCCGUUUCCCUGAUAACUUAAUGAACAAUUUUGCAACAUUGCUUUCCACUCGUAAGUGCCUCAAGGAGAAUCGUAGUAACGCGUGGAAAUUUUUUAUGGCUUUGGUGAGAACCAAUUAGCUUUAAAAUUGUUAGAAAUAGAUGUUUUUAACAUAAAAAGUAAAUAAAAAUAUUAUAAAAUAGAAUAUAGAGUAUAUUAUUAUAAUAGAGUAUAUUAUUAUUAUAAAAAAAUUUGCUAAAAAUAUUUUGCUAGUUGAGGCACUUUAGUCAUUUAGUCAUAUCUUUAUUUUUGAGUGUUAGUAAUAAAAAUAAUAAUAAAAUACCUAUGAACACAUAAUUUACAUAAAAAAGCCAAAGCCUUUAUUUAUAAACAAUAUCGUGCUAUACCUACAAUAUUUUACUAGUAUUAAAAACUAUUCAGUACAUGUAUCUUCCAUUUUUAGGCUUAAAAUAUUGAACGAUUUAUUUUAUCGAUUAAACACUAUGAUAAUAGGUAUUGUUCUUAAUUAAUAUAUUUCGUCAAGUAACAAAAACCGAUUUGCAUCAUUAAAUAGAAUAAAGAAUUAUAGAGAUUAUUUUUACAGUAAACAAGAACAAAGAAAAAUAUCCCCGACAAAUAAUGAUGCCUAGCUUCUCACUGUACCAGAAACAUGGCCAUAAUGAAAAGUCAUAUUCUAAUGUGUUGACAAUGCUGUGACGUCAGAAAUAUUGAAUGACGUAAGCAUAUUUUUGUAGUAAAAAACUAUAUAAGAGAGCAUUAUCUAGACAACUGAAAGUUUAUCAUUACAAAGCAUAAUAAACUACUACAAACAAUUCCAUUUUGUUCGAACAAUAUCAAUAUUUUUCCAUAUUCUCAGAGUAAACAGUAUUUUUCCAAAAAGCCAUUCUAAAAUUUCUAAAAUCUAAUAUAAAAUACCUAAUAUCCUUUCGUGACCUUUUAAUAUUUCUUUGAGUUUUUCCAAAAAAAAAAACAAAAAAAAUAUUUAAAUGUAGAAAUUAAAGGAGUAGUAAUUAUAAAUGUGUAUAAGAACGAAAUGAAAGAAUAUACCGCGAGAACAUUAAAAGAUAGAAAAAAUAGUAGGAAAUAUGGUUGAUAUUCACAGUGUAUUUAAAAUAAUGAAUGAGUACAAAACUACCCACACUUUAAAUGGACCAAAAACAAAUAAAAUCCGCAGGAACAAACUGGACGACGCUUGACAAGUUUGCCAGAGGUAAUAUACAGAGGAUUGUAAUCAGUUAUUUUUCAAACACGAAAUCUCCGCAGAAAACAAAAUCAUUUAGGCCCAAAUUUCAAACAUAUAAAUUAUCAAAACAAUUAAAAUUUAGAUUUCAAAAACUUGGCAGAAAUAGCAUGUUAACAGAGAAAGAUGAAGUCACGAAAUAAAGAACGGAAUUUUUGAAAAAAUUAGUACAGAAAGACAAAACAG